rnacentral:rRNA from 1 species
AGCUAGUUGGUGGGGUAACGGCUCACCAAGGCGACGAUCAGUAGCCGGCCUGAGAGGGCGGACGGCCACACUGGGACUGAGACACGGCCCAGACUCCUACGGGAGGCAGCAGUGGGGAAUUGUUCGCAAUGGGCGCAAGCCUGACGACGCAACGCCGCGUGGAGGACGAAGACCUUCGGGUCGUAAACUCCUUUCGAUCGAGACGAAUGGCCUCUGGGUGAACAAUCUGGAGGAAUGACGGUACCGAGAGAAGAAGCCCCGGCUAACUCCGUGCCAGCAGCCGCGGUAAUACGGGGGGGGCAAGCGUUGUUCGGAAUUACUGGGCGUAAAGGGCUCGUAGGCGGCCAACUAAGUCAGACGUGAAAUCCCUCGGCUUAACCGGGGAACUGCGUCUGAUACUGGAUGGCUUGAGAUUGGGAGAGGGAUGCGGAAUUCCAGGUGUAGCGGUGAAAUGCGUAGAUAUCUGGAGGAACACCGGUGGCGAAGGCGGCAUCCUGGACCAACACUGACGCUGAGGAGCGAAAGCCAGGGGAGCAAACGGGAUUAGAUACCCCGGUAGUCCUGGCCCUAAACGAUGAAUGCUUGGUGU